rnacentral:rRNA from 1 species
UGGGGAAUAUUGCACAAUGGGCGCAAGCCUGAUGCAGCCAUGCCGCGUGUAUGAAGAAGGCCUUCGGGUUGUAAAGUACUUUCAGUCGGGAGGAAGGUGUCAAGGUUAAUAACCUUGGCAAUUGACGUUACCGACAGAAGAAGCACCGGCUAACUCCGUGCCAGCAGCCGCGGUAAUACGGAGGGUGCAAGCGUUAAUCGGAAUUACUGGGCGUAAAGCGCACGCAGGCGGUUGAUUGAGUCAGAUGUGAAAUCCCCGGGCUCAACCUGGGAACUGCAUCUGAUACUGGCAAGCUAGAGUCUUGUAGAGGGGGGUAGAAUUCCAGGUGUAGCGGUGAAAUGCGUAGAGAUCUGGAGGAAUACCGGUGGCGAAGGCGGCCCCCUGGACAAAGACUGACGCUAAGGUGCGAAAGCGUGGGGAGCAAACAGG